rnacentral:antisense_RNA from 1 species
UACAUUCUAGGAAUGUCUUGAUAUACGCAAUUUAUCUGGGUUAUCUUGAUUCAAUGUUUUGAACCACCAGGGGUUCAAAACAUUGAAACAAAAACUGUUUCAGAAAAAUUGGUAGGCGCGAUUGGACUCGAACCAACGACCCCCACCA